AGAGUUUGAUCCUGGCUCAGAUUGAACGCUGGCGGCAGGCCUAACACAUGCAAGUCGAGCGGUAGCACAGGAGAGCUUGCUCUCCGGGUGACGAGCGGCGGACGGGUGAGUAAUGUCUGGGAAACUGCCUGAUGGAGGGGGAUAACUACUGGAAACGGUAGCUAAUACCGCAUAACGUCUUCGGACCAAAGUGGGGGACCUUCGGGCCUCAUGCCAUCAGAUGUGCCCAGAUGGGAUUAGCUAGUAGGUGGGGUAAUGGCUCACCUAGGCGACGAUCCCUAGCUGGUCUGAGAGGAUGACCAGCCACACUGGAACUGAGACACGGUCCAGACUCCUACGGGAGGCAGCAGUGGGGAAUAUUGCACAAUGGAGGAAACUCUGAUGCAGCAACGCCGCGUGGAGGAUGACGCAUUUCGGUGUGUAAACUCCUUUUAUAGGGGAAGAUAAUGACGGUACCCUAUGAAUAAGCACCGGCUAACUCCGUGCCAGCAGCCGCGGUAAU
rnacentral:rRNA from 1 species